GAUGAACGCUAGCGGCAGGCUUAAUACAUGCAAGUCAAGGGGGUAGCAAUACAACCGGCGCACGGGUGAGUAACGCGUACACAACAUACCAUAUACUGGGGUAUAGCUUUGGGAAACUGAAGGUAAUCCCCCAUAACAUUGCGAGAGGGCAUCUGAUUGCAAUUAAAGUUUCGGCGGUAUAUGAUUGGUGUGCGUUUGAUUAGCUAGUUGGUAGGGUAACGGCCUACCAAGGCGACGAUCAAUAGCUGGCGUGAGAGCGCGACCAGCCACACUGGAACUGAGACACGGUCCAGACUCCUACGGGAGGCAGCAGUAGGGAAUAUUGGACAAUGGGCGAAAGCCUGAUCCAGCCAUGCCGCGUGAUAGAUGAAGGCCCUCUGGAUUGUAAACUUCUUUUAUAUGGGGCGAAAAAGGGCCAUUCUUGGUCAACUGACGGUACCAUAUGAAUAAGCACCGGCUAACUCCGUGCCAGCCGCCGCCGUAAAAC
rnacentral:rRNA from 1 species